UGUUCAACUCCUACACCGUUUUAUUCUCUGAGUCUCGCUCAGGACUCUCACCAGCAAUUAAUAUCAUCAUCAUCAUCCUUUCUUAUUCUCCGAUAAUCUUCUUCCACCGUUGCCACCGCCUCUGAAACUAACGGCCGUGGCAAAGACGGACAACCACCGCAAUAACGGCUAAUCUUUUCAAAUAUCGGAUGCGGGAAGAAGUUACUCCAAUCAACAAGACUGGGUACUGACGGUUCCCAACGUUUUCGAUCCAGCAACUGUUGCCGCUGCGUUGAUUGGCUGCUCAAGCUUCUCAAAAUGGAUGUCGAUUCGCCUUCGUCCAAUCUCUCUCCUCAUGAUCAGAUUAUCCAGAAACUAGCAAUUAUUGGAAUUCCGGAGGAGUCUCUUGAAGAUUUUCAGCCUGGUUUGGUUCGUUUCAUAAAAAACAACAAGCCCCUGUUGUCUGAUAUAGUAUCAGCCAUUUUACCUACGGACGCUGAUAUUGAAGGAGUGGUUAGUGAUAGGAAAUUUGGGUCUAAAAAAGUUCUGGAUCACCCUAACUUAAAAGAUGUCUAUCGUGAAAGCAUGAUUUGGUUAAAGUGGUUGAUGUUUGAGCACGAACCGAGUGUUGCUCUUAAAAAUCUGGCUAAUUUGACUGUUGGUCAGCGUGGUGUGUGUGGUGCUGUUUGGGGGAAGAAUGAUCUUGCGUUUCGCUGUAAAACCUGUGAACAUGACCCGACAUGUGCAAUAUGUGUUCCUUGUUUCCAGAAUGGAAAUCACAAGAAUCACGACUAUUCUAUCAUUUAUACCGGAGGGGGUUGCUGUGAUUGUGGCGAUGAGACUGCCUGGAAACGAGAGGGCUUCUGCUCAAAGCACAAAGGCGCAGAACAAAUACAACCUCUCCCAGAUGAGAUUGGAAAUUCUGUUGGGCCAGUGUUGGAUCUUCUUUUCAGGCACUGGAAAGGAAAAUUAUUGGUUGCUGAGAACAUGUUAAGAGGGGAUUCUACCAACAAACAUGAUACUGAGCCGAGAAAAGUAGCAAAUGCAUUUUCAUGCACUGUAGUGGAUAUGCUUCUGGAUUUUUGCAAUCAAAGUGAAAGUUUACUAAGUUUUGUUUCCAAGAGGUUGAUUGACACAGUUGAUUUACUGUAUUUGUUGGUAAGAGCUGAGAGGUUCUUAAGUAAUGAUGUCACAAAGAGGUUGCAUGAGUUGCUACUGAAGCUUCUAGGUGAACCUGUAUUUAAAUUUGAGUUUGCCAAAGUAUUCAUAGAGUAUUACCCUGUUCCUGUGGCUGAGGUUCUAAGGACAUCGAGUGAUAUUGUUCUUAGGAAAUAUCCUCUACUAGGCAUGUUUUCUGUUCAACUUUUAACUGUGCCAACGCUGACCCCUUAUCUUGUAAAAGAACGAAAUCUUUUGGUUGUGCUUUUGGAAUGUCUGGGAGAAAUACUCUUUUCUUGCUGUGGAGAGGAUGGUCAGUUUCAGUUUAACAAGUGGGUUGCUGUAUUUGAUACAUGUAACCGCGUGAUGGAAGACAUAAAGUUUGUUCUAAGCCAUUCUGUGGUAGCCAAGUAUGUGACACAUGAACGGUCAGACAUUGUCAAAGUUUGGUUGCAAAAUUUGUCUCUAUUGCAAGGCAUGAAUCCUCAAAAGCGAGAGACUAGCAUUCAUAUUGAAGAAGAACAUGAAAAUACGCAUCUGCCUUUUGUUGUGUGCAAUUCAAUUGCCAGCACUCAUUUGCUUCUAGUGAAGAGUGCUUUCUCUGCUGCCGGUUGUGAAGGGAUGGAUACGGAGGCAUCUUUUGAGAGAGAGGAAAAAGACACUGAUGAUGGAUAUAGUCAAAGGCACGCUAAAGUUGGAAGACUUUCUGAAGAAAGCUCCAUCUGCAGUUCAGCGGCUGAAAGUAGCAUAUCAGAAUCUUCACCAUGGAAGUUCGUUAGUAGUGAUGAUUUUGUAGUUCCUCCCUCUGUCCUGCAGUUGCUAUUUGAGUCAACAAAAGCUAUAGAUGGUUGGUUGGCAGGGAGUAAUAUUGUAUCUCAUGUCACUGGUGACAUUUCAUAUUGCAAAUUAUCAGCGUUCAAGGAAGCCUUAUUGAGGGUCAAGAUGGGAAUGUACAUUUCAGGCUUAUCUGACGGCUCCUCAGUGACAAAAGCCUGUCCAAUAGAUAGUAGGAAUGUGGAUAAAGAUGUGAGUAAAAUGGAAACAGAAACAUCUUCUGAAAAAGAUGUCUUGUCUUUGUUGAGUUCAUCUGAAUGGCCAGAUAUUGAUUAUGAUGUAAGUUCACAGGAGAUAUCAGUACAUAUGCCCUUGCAGGGAUUACUCUGUUUAAUUUUGAAGGAGGCUCUUAGGCAUUAUUGUGGUGAAUCUGAACUGACAGAUAAGGGUGAUAUAACUUAUUUGAAUCCGCUAUCAUCUGUUCACCUUGAUUUCUUUCGAAAAGUACUUAGAGGCUGUCAUCCCUAUGGAUUUUCUGCAUUCAUGAUGGAGCAUCCUCUGCGAAGCAGGGUAUUUUGUUCUCAGGUCCGUGCUGGGAUGUGGAGGAAAAAUGGUGAUGCUGCAAUUUUAUGUUUCAACUGGUAUCGUUCUAUACGCUGGUCUGAUCAUGAGCUAGAGCUUGAUCUUUUUUUGCUGCAGCUAUGUGCUGCAUUUGCUCCAGCUGAUCUGUAUGUGAGAAGAAUCCUAGAACGUUUUCAGUUGUCUAAUUACCUUGCUUUGGAUCUCAAGCGUUCUAGUGAGUAUGAACCUGUUUUGAUGCAGGAGUUGCUCACCCUAAUAAUACAGAUAGUCAAAGAGAGGCGAUUUUGUGGAAUGUCAGCAUCUAAAAGUCUGCAAAGAGAACUGAUUUGUAAGCUUGCAACUGGCAAUGCUACACACAGUGAGCUUGUCAAGUCGCUACCUAAGGACCUUUCUAAGUUGGACCAGCUGCAGGAGGUCUUAGAUAGAAUUGCUCAAUAUUCUAAUCCAUCGGGAUUAAAUCAGGGUAAGUACUCUCUACGAAUGCCAUAUUGGAAAGAACUAGAUCUGUAUCAUCCAUGUUGGAAUCCCAGAGAUUUGCAGGUUGCAGAGGAAAGAUACUCCCGUUUUUGUGGGGUUUCUGCCUUGAGUGUCCAAUUGCCAGAGUGGACAAACAUUUACCAACCACUAAUUGGAAUAGUUGGAGUAGCUACCUGCAAGACUAUUAUCCAGGUCAUUAGGGCUGUCAUCUUUUAUGCUGUCUUUACACAUGGAUCAACAGAAUCACGUGCUCCUGAUGGGGUGCUUAUAACUUCUCUGCACUUGCUUUCAUUAGCCCUGGAUAUUUGUUCUCUAGAGAGAAAAUCUGGCCAUCUAUCUGCUCAUGAUGGAGAUUGUAGUCCGUUGGUGGAUGUUGCAACUGAGGAAAUUGAAGUGGGGGUGCACAAUGAAUCUGAUUGUCAGAGUUUACUGUCACUUUUGGUCUUGUUGACGAGGAAGCACAGGAAAGAAAAUAUAGGGAACUCAACGGAGGCAGGAAACUUCAAUAUUUCAUCUCUAGUAGAAAUUCUGCUGAAGAAAUUUGCCGAUCUAGACUCCAAAUGCAUGACGAAACUGCAGCAGGUUGCUCCUGAAAUUGUUAAUUACAAAGCUGACGAAACAGUGAGCUUUAGUUCAGCUUCUGAUGCCGAGAAGAGGAAGAUGAAAGCCAGGGAAAGACAAGCUGCCAUAUUGGCAAAAAUGAAAGCUGAGCAAAUUAAAUUUCUGGCAUCCGUGAAGUCUUCUGCAGAUGCUGGGUCAGAUGAUUCUGGUUUCGGGAAGGAGGAGCCUGCUUCUAAUAUACCACGAGAUUCAGAAGAAAUACAUGUCUGUUGUCUUUGCCAUGAUCCUAAUUCUAGAAACCCAGUAUCUUUCCUUAUUUUGCUUCAGAAAUCUAGGAUUCUAAACUAUGUGGACAGAGGUCCUCCUGCAUGGGACCAAAGCUGGAAGUCUGAUGGGUUGGAGAGCUCUGUAUCAUCUUAUAUGUGGACAGAUCCCCUGGGUAAUGCUAAUGCUCUCUCGGAGGAGAGUUUACCAUCUUCUCAGUUGUUGCAGUUAGUUGAAGAUGCAAUAGAUGAGUUUGCUGCUCAGGCUCAUCCUGCAGAACUUCAUGCUUUUAUAGAUUACCUCAAGUCCCAGUUUCCCGAGCUUCGAAAAAGUAAAAACUCUGGAAAAUCUACUGAGAAGAGGGAAAAGACUGCAUAUUCCCUUGAAUCAUUGGAGCAAGAUUUGUUUUUGUCUAUUCACAAAGAGAUUACUCUUAAUCACGACUCUGGUUUUAUGAGGGAUGGUGAAGGAAUCCCUUUGGGAGAGGAUGCAUUGAGAUCAUGUUGUCAGGUUUCCCUAUUGCUUGGAAAAUAUAUAGCUGCUCUCACAAAAGAGUCUAAGGAUCUUUCACAAAGCAGCAAUUACCGCAGAGUGGAGCCUUCUGCUCAGAUUCCUUCUUAUAAUGGAUUUCGCCCCUCAGAUUGUGAUGGGAUUCAUGUUUCCUCUUGUGGCCAUGCAGUUCAUCAAACAUGUCUUGAUCGUUAUUUGUCAUCAUUAAAAGAACGACUUAUCAGAAGAAUGGUAUUUGAAGGCGGGCAUAUUGUUGAUCCAGAUCAAGGUGAGUUUCUCUGCCCAGUAUGCCGCCGCCUUGCAAAUUCUACACUUCCUUCUGUGCCAGGUGAUUCUCAUAAGCUUUUGGUGCACCCUACGGACUUCACCAUCUCUUCAGUGCAGUCAUUUGGUUCUGUGACUGCGUCAAAAAAGGAGAAUGGUUCAUUGCGGCUUCAAAAUGCUUUGUCUAUUUUAAGAACUGCAGCUUCUACUGUUUCAAGUAGUGAAGUGCUCAAGGCUUUGCCUAUGCAGAGAAACAGAAGGAUGAGGCCUAAUCUUGAACCUAUCUUCCAAUUGCUCAGUGGAAUGUAUUUUCCUAAGAAACAGGAUAUAUUUUCAAGGUCGGGGAGAGUUAGUCCUUCUGUUCUUAUGUGGGCCACUCUCAAGUAUUCACUUAUAUCAACAGAAAUUGCAGCUCGCUGUGGAAAGAGCUCUCUGAGUUCCAGGAAUGGCCUUAGUUCUCUGUAUGAUGAAUUUAAGUCAUCUUCUGGGUUUAUUCUGCCAUUGCUGCUAAAAAUAAUCCAGAGCACAAGAAGCAAGAAUGUGCCCGAUUUGCUUUUAAGAUUUAGAGGCCUUCAACUCUUUUCAGCAUCCAUUUGCUCAGGCAUUGUAUAUGAUAAGGGACAUGGGGAAGGCAUCGGUGAAGGAGGAAAAAUUUUGCAUAUGUUAAAAUAUGCCAAUGGGGAGAUGGAGUAUCCUGACAUGCAAUUAUGGGACCAAGCUUCACAUCCUGUUCUUAUUCACGACCCUUUCUCAACAUUGAUGUGGGUUCUAUUUUGCCUUCCCUAUCCAUUCCUGUCAUCAAAAGAGUCUUUCUUAUCGCUUGUGCAUAUCUUUUAUGGUGUCUCUAUCAUUCAGGCUAUAAUCACAUACUGUUCAUACUCAGACUGCAACGUGAAUGAUAUAGGCUUCCAGGAUUGUCUGGUUACUGAUAUAGCCAAGUUAGUUGGAAAAUCUGCCAUUACGAAGAAAUUUUUCGUUUCAAAUUAUGUUGAUCCUUCUUGUCACGUAAAGGAUGUGAUUGAUAAUUUAAGCUUACCAUAUCUGCGAAGAUGUAUGUUGUUAUGGAAACUUCUAAAGUGUUCUUCCACUUCACCUUCCCCUUCAAGGGUUGGUGACAAAUCAUUAGAUAUCUCUGAUUGCCAGGAGAUUACUGGUAUAACGAGGGAGGGGGAUGAGAUUAAUGAAUUGCGCAAGAUGCUUGGAAUUCCUCCAUUGGAUAUUGUUCUUAAAGAUGGAGAUCUACGUUCCAUGAUGUCAAAAUGGUUUUGUCAUUUUUCUAAGGAGUUUGAAGAUCAAUGUGUUCAGCGUCCUCUGCAUUCAACUCCAGCAGUUCCAUUUCAGCUGAUGCGUCUUCCUGCUGUUUACCAGGAUCUUGUGCAGAGGUAUAUAAAAGUUCGAUGUCCUAAUUGUGAAACCGUGCAAGAUGAACCUGCCUUGUGCCUUUUAUGUGGUAGACUAUGCUCUCCAACCUGGAAAUCCUGCUGCAGUGAAAGUGGAUGCCAGGCUCAUGCAGCUUCAUGUGGUGCUGGGACUGGGGUAUUCCUCUUAAUCAGGAAAACAACAAUCUUGCUUCAGCGAAAUGCACGACAAGCUCCUUGGCCCUCGCCCUACCUUGAUGCAUUUGGUGAAGAGGAUGUUGAAAUGCAUAGGGGCAAGCCAUUGUACCUUAAUGAAGAGCGUUAUGCGGCUUUGACAUACAUGGUGGCUUCUCAUGGCCUUGAUCGAAGUUCCAAAGUUCUUCGUCAAACCACAAUUGGUACCUUCGUCGUGGUUUAAUUCUCAAAAUGUUGUGUUCUACAAAAGUAUCGCAGAUGAUUUGACAUGAAAGAAGAGAAGGGUAGGAGAUGUAGAGAUGUAGCAGGAUCCUUAUCUACACCUCAAACAAUGGCGGCAUUGAAUUAGUUUUGACCUGCAGUCCCCUCGUGCAGCUCAGUAUGCCUUAGGAUUACUUCAAGUGUCGAGAUGUUGCGCUUAAUGUCUCCUUAAUCUAUACCGCCGUUGUAAAGAUGUGAUUUACUGUUACUUAUACUGAUGGUUGAUUCAAUUAUAUGCUAGCUUUUCAUGUAAAUCUAUCUUAAAUUUCUUGUCUUUUUAUUCAAUAUUAAUCAUAAUUCUCCAUGUAAAUAAUUGUGCAUAAGAGGAUUUGCUUCUUGAUGAACAUGUUUUUGAAUCAAGGCUUUCAUUGUAGUACGGAGUAGUAGUUUCCUGUAUCAGGAAUCAGGAUCCUCCUCAAUUCUCCAAUUAUUUCAAACAGUGUGUUUCUUUUUGGUUAA